rnacentral:rRNA from 1 species
UACGUAGGUCGCAAGCGUUGUCCGGAUUUACUGGGCGUAAAGAGCGCGCAGGCGGCUGGUCAAGUCCGAUGUGAAAUCUCCCGGCUCAACUGGGAAACUGCAUCGGAAACUGAUCGGCUUGAAGAUGGGAGAGGGUAGUGGAAUUCCCGGUGUAGUGGUGAAAUGCGUAGAUAUCGGGAGGAAACACCAGUGGCGAAGGGCGGCUUUCUGGGACGGUACUGACGGCUGAGACGCGAAAGCGUGGGGAGCGAAACAGG